AGCUGGCACAGGCUGUAAUAUCGUGUGCCCUAGACCUGGUAGCAAUACACAGGGACGGAAGCCUUCUCGCUACAAGAAGCACUCAAUCACUACCCGCAAGGAUGCAGAUAGCAAACGCCGCUAUUUGAUUGUUU
rnacentral:ncRNA from 2 species